ACGGAUUCGAGAAGUUGGCGAUUUCCCGAAGAUUAAAAGAUAAUAACACUUCUAUUAUGAUCACUCAGCUGUAUUGAUCUCAUCAGGGAAGCCACCGCAGGUCUCAUAUGAGCAGAAUCUGUAGAAGGGGAAGCAACAAGACUGCAGGAGGCAGGCGUAAAUCAACACUUGUUGUAUACAAAGUUGGGCUCGAAUCGUCUCCCAGAAAGAACUGCCACUCUUCUCCUUGGAGAUCCUCCUUGACCAACCUAAGAAGAAUGCCUAAGGGAAAUGGGCUGACUGAAAUCUCAAGCCAAAGAUGGACAAGAGUGGGGCUUAUGACCGGUGAAAGCCUGGGCUCUUUCGCUUCUGCUGGAGUCCCUUGUGCAGCCACUGUUGGACUUCACGGGCUGUACUACGUUCCUGGCUCCCAUGAAGGUAGAAGUUUUCUAUACCACUUCCCCCUGCUACCUUCUGUGUAGCCUUGCUUCAGGUCGAAAGCAUACAGACAUGGACCCACAGUGCACAGAAACCUGUAGGGUCUUUUUGGUCCAGGCAGAGGAAUAGCAGGACACCUUGGUACAGCAGCCUGGGGCUUCCUUCCUCGUUUCUCCUUUCGUGGUUCUUGCAAAGGUGUGAAGCCCAGACGACCAGUUAGCUCGAAGCUCAGAAGAUGAGCUAGUUCCACCUCUGUCUUUGGAGAGCUCUCCUGAAGACUGGCACAGCUUGAACUAGAGGUUGCAUGAGGGCUCCAUGGUGCAUCCUCGCCAGCAGACCCAAGAGUAGAGUCGUCUUUGCCGUAGCUGUGAGAGCUGGAGCGACUAAAGCCACGGGAGUGCUUCCAGGGAUACACUUGGGCAUUCACAUCCAAGUGGUUUGGACCCCUGAAGAGAACACAGUCCUGAUCAUAACUUGGUAUUAUCCCAGUGAAACCUCCACUACACUGGGCAUACAAAGGGGAUUCUCCAGCUGGCCAUGAGCUAUGCAACCCUACCAAAGACACACGGUCCUCUUCUCUGCUCCACUUAAGACAGAUAACAGCAGAAAGCAAGCUAGCACUAAGCAUCAUUUAGAAGGCUAUAAAACUGGAUAUUCUCCAGAUGCCCAGGCAUUUACCAACAUCAGCUCCUGACACGACAGUGGAAGAGGGCAGAGGAGAGGCCGCUCGCAUCAUAGCAUCAUCUCUCAAGCUUGUAUUAACAAAUGUGUCUUGUUACCACCCAAUGGCGUGGCCCUCCCAACUGCUUCCAAUCUGGUAGUCUGGGGAUGUCAGCUCUAGGACGACUAGAGCUGCUUCUUCUGUCCAGUCAGAAUCAGAAGAAACCUAGGAGCAGACACAAGCAGCAGAGCGGUUUCCUGAAAAUGGAUGCACUUGUCCACGUCCAUUCCCUCCUUAGCACACCCAGUGCAUCCUGAACACAGCACAGAAGCCAAGCAGGAUUGGGUCUGACUAGCCCCCAGCUUAUGUCCAUGGAUGUCUGUGGUCUGUAUUGCUCUUCCCGAUCUGCUGCUCAGUCCAACUCUUGGUGCACAGUGUGUGCUCAGUAAAGUUUUCUUGGCCAAUUCAACCCAUCAAACGAGUGAAGAAGGAGGGUGCUAUCUGUUGUGUAGGUGGUUUUUUUUAGUUAUAUCUCCCCCCCCCCCAUUAUGGUCAAAGAUGGUCAGUCUUCAUUUUGUGUCCUGUAUAAUUUACUGUUCACAAUCUGCAAUGUUUUCAAAACUAUGAAUUAAACAUGGCCAAUUA